AGAGUUUGAUCCUGGCUCAGGACGAACGCUGGCGGCGUGCUUAACACAUGCAAGUCGAACGAUGAAGUCUCUUCGGAGAUGGAUUAGUGGCGAACGGGUGAGGAACACGUGAACAAUCUGCCCUUAACACGGGAAUAACUUCGGGAAAUCGAAGCUAAUACCCGAUAUUGAAUUUGGUACGCAUGUACUGAAUUUGAAAUGGUCCGCCGGUUAAGGAUGAGUUCGCGGCCUAUCAGCUUGUUGGUGAGGUAAUGGCUCACCAAGGCGACGACGGGUAGCCGGCCUGAGAGGGCGACCGGCCACACUGGGACUGAGAUACGGCCCAGACUCCUACGGGAGGCAGCAGUGGGGAAUAUUGCGCAAUGGACGAAAGUCUGACGCAGCAACGCCGCGUGAGGGAUGAAGGCCUUCGGGUUGUAAACCUCUUUCAAUUGGGACGAAGCGAAAGUGACGGUACCAAUACAAGAAGCACCGGCUAACUAUGUGCCAGCAGCCGCGGUAAUACAUAGGGUGCAAGCGUUGUCCGGAUUUAUUGGGCGUAAAGAGCUCGUAGGCGGUCAAUCACGUCGGAUGUGAAAACUUGGGGCUUAACCCCAAGCCUGCAUCCGAUACGGAUUAACUAGAAAGCAGUAGGGGAGAUUGGAAUUCCUGGUGUAGCGGUGGAAUGCGCAGAUAUCAGGAGGAACACCAGUGGCGAAGGCGGAUCUCUGGGCUGUAUUUGACGCUGAGGAGCGAAAGCGUGGGGAGCAAACAGGAUUAGAUACCCUGGUAGUCCACGCUGUAAACGGUGGGCGCUAGUUGUGGGGGACUUCCACGUUCUCUGCGACGUCGCUAACGCAUUAAGCGCCCCGCCUGGGGAGUACGGCCGCAAGGCUAAAACUCAGAGGAAUUGACGGGGCCCCGCACAAGCGGCGGAGCAUGCGGCUUAAUUCGAUGCAACGCGAAGAACCUUACCUAGACUUGACAUGCAAGGAAAUCUCUUAGAGAUAAGAGGUCCGCAAGGGCUUUGCACAGGUGGUGCAUGGCUGUCGUCAGCUCGUGUCGUGAGAUGUUGGGUUAAGUCCCGCAACGAGCGCAACCCCUGUUCUAUGUUGCCAGCACGUAAUGGUGGGGACUCAUAGGAGACCGCCGGGGUCAACUCGGAGGAAGGUAGGGAUGACGUCAAGUCAUCAUGCCCCUUAUGUCUAGGGCUGCACGCAUGCUACAAUGGUCGGUACAAAGGGCUGCAAUACCGCAAGGUGGAGCGAAUCCCAAAAAGCCGGCCUCAGUUCGGAUUGAGGUCUGCAACUCGACCUCAUGAAGUCGGAGUCGCUAGUAAUCGCAGAUCAGCGACGCUGCGGUGAAUACGUUCCCGGGGCUUGUACACACCGCCCGUC
rnacentral:rRNA from 1 species